GACGAACGCUGGCGGCGUGCUUAACACAUGCAAGUCGAACGGAAAGGCACUGCUUUUGUGGGGUGCUCGAGUGGCGAACGGGUGAGUAACACGUGAGUAACCUGCCCUUGACUUUGGGAUAACUUCAGGUAACUGGGGCUAAUACAGGAUAGCAGACGCUGCUGCAUGGAGGGGGUUGGAAAGUUUCUGCUGUAGGGGAUGGACGGGCGGAUUAUGGGCUUGUUAGUGGGGGAGUGGCAUACCAAGGAUUUGAAGGGUAGCCGGCCUGUGUGGGUGACCGGCCACCUUGGGACUGCGAGACGGAGCAGACUGCUAUGUGAGGCAGCAGUCGCGAACAUUGCCCAACGGUCCGAAGCCUGAUGCAGAAACGCUGGGUUCGUGAUGCCGUCUUUCGGGUUGUAAACCGCAUUCGCCUGAUACGAAGCGGUAGUGACGGUAACGGGUGAAGAAGCACCGGCUAACUACGUG
rnacentral:rRNA from 1 species